GAUGAACGCUGGCGGCGUGCCUAAUACAUGCAAGUCGAGCGAACAGACUCUGAUCUUGCUCCUCUGACGUUAGCGGAAGACGUGUGAAAAACGCGUGUAUCACCUCCCUAUAAGUCUGGUAUAACUUCGGGAAUCCGGAUCUAAUCCCAGAUGAUCUCUUGCACCGCAUGGUUCAAUGGUAAGUUACGGCUUUUUCGGCGGUUGUAGAUGGAUCCCCGCCUCAUUGUCUUGUUGGUGCGGUACCGGCUUACCAAGGCAACGACGGGUAGCCGGCCUGAGAGGGUGACCGGCGACAAUGGGACUGAGAUACGGCCCAGACUGCUACGGGAGGCAGCGGUGGAGAGUAUUACACAGUAGGCGGGAGCCUGAUGCAGCAACGCCGCGUGCGGGAUGACGGCCUUCGGGUUGUGAACCGCUUUCGCCUGUGACGAAGCGGGAGUGACGGUAAUGAAUAAAGAAGCACCGGCUAACUACGUG
rnacentral:rRNA from 1 species